rnacentral:rRNA from 1 species
GGCUACACACGUGCUACAAUGGGUAGUACAGAGAGUCGCAAAGCCGUGAGGUGGAGCUAAUCUCAGAAAACUAUUCUUAGUUCGGAUUGUACUCUGCAACUCGAGUACAUGAAGUUGGAAUCGCUAGUAAUCGCNGAAUCAGCAAUGUCGCGGUGAAUACGUUCUCGGGUCUUGUACACUCCGCCCGUCACACCACGAGAGUUGGUUGCACCUGAAGUAGCAGGCCUAACCGUAAGGAGGGAUGCUCCGAGGGUGUGAUUAGCGAUUGGGGUGAAGUCGUAACAAGGUAUCCGUACGGGAACGU